rnacentral:rRNA from 1 species
CAGCCGUAAACUAUGCGCGUUAGGUGUAUCGGUGACCACGAGUUACCGAGGUGCCGAAGGGAAACCGUGAAACGUGCCGCCUGGGAAGUACGGUCGCAAGGCUGAAACUUAAAGGAAUUGGCGGGGGAGCACCACAACAGGUGGAGCCUGCGGUUUAAUUGGACUCAACGCCGGGAAGCUCACCGGAUAGGACAGCAGAAUGGUUGCCGGGCUGAAGACCCUGCAUGACUAGCUGAGAGGAGGUGCAUGGCGUAGACGUCU